AUAAAUAGAGGCGCGAUUAUUAAGAUAAGCGAUUUUUAAGGGCAAAGGAAAAUCGUGGGAAAGGAAUAAUCGCCGAGAGAGUAAAAAAUCCCUAAAAUUUUUAUUCUCGGGCGUGCAGAAAAUAUCUGUACGACUGUCACCUUAAAAAUAAGGUGUUGCGCUAUUAU
rnacentral:ncRNA from 1 species